rnacentral:rRNA from 1 species
AUUGAACGCUGGCGGCAUGCCUUACACAUGCAAGUCGAACGGCAGCACGGGAGCAAUCCUGGUGGCGAGUGGCGAACGGGUGAGUAAAGUAUCGGAACGUGCCCAGUCGUGGGGGAUAACGUAGCGAAAGCUACGCUAAUACCGCAUACGAUCUAUGGAUGAAAGCGGGGGAUCGCAAGACCUCGCGCGAUUGGAGCGGCCGAUAUCAGAUUAGGUAGUUGGUGGGGUAAAGGCCCACCAAGCCGACGAUCUGUAGCUGGUCUGAGAGGACGACCAGCCACACUGGGACUGAGACACGGCCCAGACUCCUACGGGAGGCAGCAGUGGGGAAUUUUGGACAAUGGGCGCAAGCCUGAUCCAGCAAUGCCGCGUGCAGGAUGAAGGCCUUCGGGUUGUAAACUGCUUUUGUACGGAACGAAAAGGCUCUCACUAAUACUGGGGGCUCAUGACGGUACCGUAAGAAUAAGCACCGGCUAACUACGUGCCAGCCGCCGCAGUAA